CAGGCUAUAGCCCACCCGUUUUUUGGCCAUUUUUCCGCUGGGGGGUCUUGGGACCCCGAACUUCGGGGGCUGUUUUUUGGGCGUGGCUGUGCCCGUGGCCUAUUUUUGGCACACGGAGGCCGCCCGCCAUGUCUGGUGCCAUUCCGAGUCCCGCGGACGAACUUCGCCCACGCCCCCCACCAAGGCUAUAGCCCACCCGUUUUUUGGCCAUUUUUCCGCUGGGGGGUCUUGGGACCCCGAACUUCGGGGGCUGUUUUUUGGGCGCGGCUGUGCCCGUGGCCUAUUUUUGGCACACGGAGGCCGCCCGGCAAGUCUGGUGCCAUUCCGAGUCCCACGGACGAGCUUCGCCCACGCCCCCCACCAAGCUAUAGCCCACCGUUUUUUAGGCCAUUUUUCCGCGGGGGGGUCUUGGGACCCCGAACUUCGGGGGCAGUUUUUUGGGCGCGGCUGUGCCCGUGGCCUAUUUUUGGCACACGGAGGCCGCCCGCCAAGUCUGGUGCCAUUUCGAGUCCCGCGGACGAACUUCGCCCACGCCCCCCACCAAGGCUAUAGCCCACCCGUUUUUUGGCCAUUUUUCCGCUGGGGGGUCUUGGGACCCCGAACUUCGGGGGCUGUUUUUUGGGCGCGGCUGUGCCCGUGGCCUAUUUUUGGGACACGGAGGCCGCCCGCCAAGUCUGGUGCCAUUCCGAGUCCCGCGGACGAACUUCGCCCACGCCCCCCACCAAGGCUAUAGCCCACCCGUUUUUUGGCCAUUUUUCCGCUGGGGGGUCUUGGGACCCCGAACUUCGGGGGCUGUUUUUUGGGCGCGGCUGUGCCCGUGGCCUAUUUUUGGCACACGGAGGCCGCCCGCCAAGUCUGGUGCCAUUCCGAGUCCCGCGGACGAACUUCGCCCACGCCCCCCACCAAGGCUAUAGCCCACCCGUUUUUUGGCCAUUUUUCCGCUGGGGGGUCUUGGGACCCCGAACUUCGGGGGCUGUUUUUUGGGCGCGGCUGUGCCCGUGGCCUAUUUUUGGCACAUGGAGGCCGCCCGCCAUCUGGUGCCAUUCCGAGUCCCGCGGACGAACUUCGCCCACGCCCCCCACCAAGGCUAUAGCCCACCCGUUUUUUGGCCAUUUUUCCGCUGGGGGGUCUUGGGACCCCGAACUUCGGGGGUUGUUUUUUGGGCGCGGCUGUGCCCGUGGCCUAUUUUUGGCACACGGAGGCCGCCCGCCAAGUCUGGUGCCAUUCCGAGUCCCGCGGACGAACUUCGCCCACGCCCCCCACCAAGGCUAUAGCCCACCCGUUUUUUGGCCAUUUUUCCGCUGGGGGGUCUUGGGACACCGAACUUCGGGGGCUGUUUUUUGGGCGCGGCUGUGCCCGUGGCCUAUUUUUGGCACACGGAGGCCGCCCGCCAAGUCUGGUGCCAUUCCGAGUCCCGCGGACGAACUUCGCCCACGCCCCCCACCAAGGCUAUAUCCCACCGUUUUUUGGCCAUUUUUCCGCUGGGAGGUCUUGGGACCCCAAACUUCGGGGGCUGUUUUUUGGGCGCGGCUGUGCCCGUGGCCUAUUUUUGGCACACGGAGGCCGCCCGCCAAGUCUGGUGCCAUUCCGAGUCCCGCGGACGAACUUCGCCCACGCCCCCCACCAAGGCUAUAGCCCACCCGUUUUUUGGCCAUUUUUCCGCUGGGGGGUCUUGGGACCCCGAACUUCGGGGGUUGUUUUUUGGGCGCGGCUGUGCCCGUGGCCUAUUUUUGGCACACGGAGGCCGCCCGCCAAGUCUGGUGCCAUUCCGAGUCCCGCGGACGAACUUCGCCCAAGCCCCCCACCAAGGCUAUAGCCCACCCGUUUUUUGGCCAUUUUUCCGCUGGGGGGUCUUGGGACCCCGAACUUCGGGGGUUGUUUUUUGGGCGCGGCUGUGCCCGUGGCCUAUUUUUGGCACACGGAGGCCGCCCGCCAAGUCUGGUGCCAUUCCGAGUCCCGCGGACGAACUUCGCCCACGCCCCCCACCAAGGCUAUAGCCCACCGUUUUUUGGCCAUUUUUCCGCUGGGGGGUCUUGGGACCCCGAACUUCGGGGGAUUGUUUUUUGGGCGCGGCUGUGCCCGUGGCCUAUUUUUGGCACACGGAGGCCGCCCGCCAAGUCUGGUGCCAUUCCGAGUCCCGCGGACGAACUUCGCCCACGCCCCCCACCAAGGCUAUAGCCCACCCGUUUUUUGGCCAUUUUUCCGCUGGGGGGUCUUGGGACCCCGAACUUCGGGGGCUGUUUUUUGGGCGCGGCUGUGCCCGUGGCCUAUUUUUGGCACACGGAGGCCGCCCGCCAUGUCUGGUGCCAUUCCGAGUCCCGCGGACGAACUUCGCCCACGCCCCCCACCAAGGCUAUAGCCCACCCGUUUUUUGGCCAUUUUUCCGCUGGGGGGUCUUGGGACCCCGAACUUCGGGGGCUGUUUUUUGGGCGCGGCUGUGCCCGUGGCCUAUUUUUGGCACACGGAGGCCGCCCGCCAAGUCUGGUGCCAUUCCGAGUCCCGCGGACGAACUUCGCCCACGCCCCCAACCAAGGCUAUAGCCCACCCGUUUUUUGGCCAUUUUUCCGCUGGGGGGUCUUGGGACCCCGAACUUCGGGGGCUGUUUUUUGGGCGCGACUGUGCCCGUGGCCUAUUUUUGGCACACGGAGGCCGCCCGCCAAGUCUGGUGCCAUUCCGAGUCCCGCGGACGAACUUCGCCCACGCACCCCACCAAGGCUAUAGCCCACCGUUUUUUGGCCAUUUUUCUGCGGGGGGGUCUUGGGACCCCGAACUUCGGGGCUUUUUUUUUGGGCGCGGCUGUGCCCGUGGCCUAUUUUUGGCACACGGAGGCCGCCCGCGAAGUCUGGUGCCAUUCCGAGUCCCACGGACGAACUUCGCCCACGCCCCCCACCAAGGCUAUAGCCCACCGUUUUUUGGCCAUUUUUCCGCUGGGGGGUCUUGGGACCCCGAACUUCGGGGGCUGUUUUUUGGGUGCGGCUGUGCCCGUGGCCUAUUUUUGGCACACGGAGGCCGCCCGCCAAGUCUGGUGCCAUUCCGAGUCCCGCGGACGAACUUCGUCCACGCCCCCCACCAAGGCUAUAGCCCACCCGUUUUUUGGCCAUUUUGCCGCUGGGGGGUCUUGGGACCCCGAACUUCGGGGGCUGUUUUUGGGC
rnacentral:lncRNA from 1 species